rnacentral:rRNA from 1 species
UACGGGGGGGGUAAGCGUUGUUCGGAAUUACUGGGCGUAAAGGGCUCGUAGGCGGCCAACUAAGUCGGACGUGAAAUCCCUCAGCUUAACUGGGGAACUGCGUCUGAUACUGGAUGGCUUGGAUUCGGGAGAGGAAUGCGGAAUUCCAGGUGUAGCGGUGAAAUGCGUAGAUAUCUGGAGGAACACCGGUGGCGAAGGCGGCAUUCUGGACCGACAUUGACGCUGAGGAGCGAAAGCCAGGGGAGCAAACGGG